rnacentral:rRNA from 1 species
UACGGAGGGUGCAAGCGUUAUUCGGAUUUACUGGGCGUAAAGGGCGCGCAGGCGGCUUUGCAAGUCAGUUGUGAAAGCCCGGGGCUUAACCCCGGAAGUGCGACUGAAACUGCGGGGCUUGAGUAUGGUAGAGGGAAGUGGAAUUCCUGGUGUAGCGGUGAAAUGCGUAGAUAUCAGGAGGAACACCGGUGGCGAAGGCGGCUUCCUGGACCAAUACUGACGCUGAGGCGCGAAGGUGUGGGGAGCAAACAGGAUUAGAUACCCCCGUAGUCCC